UUUUAUCAAACAUUCAUUUAUCAAGGUUUUACUAUAUUUUUUCUCUUUGCUAAUAAAUUUUGCUGAACCAAAAUUUCUGUCAAGAGGUCUAAUGUUGGUUCAUAACAAGGAACCGUUCAGAUUCUUUGUAAUGGGUUUUAAAUAUUGGCCCAUUUAUGGAUUGUUUCAGAAGUUACCCAGUGAAGAGACACCCUUUCAGAGUUUAGACAUUGUUUUGGUUUUAAAACAAG
rnacentral:lncRNA from 1 species